rnacentral:rRNA from 1 species
GACGAGGGACCUAGCGUUGUUCGGAAUCAUUGGGCGUAAAGGGCGCGUAGGCGGCGGGGUAAGUCGGGUGUGAAAUCUCAGAGCUCAACUCUGAAACUGCACUCGAUACUGCUCUGCUUGAGGACUGGAGAGGAGACUGGAAUUCACGGUGUAGCAGUGAAAUGCGUAGAUAUCGUGAGGAAGACCAGUGGCGAAGGCGGGUCUCUGGACAGUUCCUGACGCUGAGGCGCGAAGGCCAGGGGAGCAAACGGG